AGGUGUCUGCCACCAUGCCCAGCUAAUUUUUGUACUUUUAGUAGAGAUGGGUUUUCACCAUGUUGGCCAGGCUGGUCUAAAACUGCUGACCUGAAGUGAUCAGCUAGCUCCGGCCUCUCAAAGUGCAGGGAUUUACAGGCAUGAGCCACCAUGCCCAGCCUGAAUUGUAUACUUUAAAAGGGUAAAUUUUAUGGUGUGUAAAUUACAUCUCUGUAAUGCUGUUAAACUAAUUAACAAUAUAGGCAGAAGGUUCUAAAGAGGAAUGUGAUG